GUCAUCCUUAGAAGACUUACUCCAUUAGCUGUCAGACUGCAGGGACGGCGAGGAAGCGCUCACUGGGAUAAAAUGAGAGCUGGUGAUGAUGGAACCGUCUUACAAGUUGGAGGUAAACACAGGAUUUACAGCUCUAAAGAAGCCCCCGCUUACUCAUUACCAAGACCUUGGGGGACACGAGAGAAGACAUCACGAGAUGGAGCCAGCUCUGGACUUCAGGUAACAGAAUUCAAGUUUUUCGUGGAGCAGUGUUCAUCAAGACCAAAACCCCCAGGUUCU